AACGCAUAUUGCGCUCUCUGGUAUUCCGGAGAGCAUGCUUGUUUGAGUAUCAGUAAACACCUCAAACCUCAAUGGAUGUUUAAACAAUCAUUGAAGUUUGGAUUUGAGGGAUCCCAACACACAUAUUAUUGAUGUGGCGGGUCGCUUGAAAUGCAGGUGCAGCUGGACGUUUAUCUGAGCUAAAGGCAUAUUUAUUUAAUCCCGUCAAAGGAUUAUUACUUUUGCUUCAGCUAUUCUAAGGAUGAAAUGUUUCCAAGAUGCUGACUGAUGCAGGAAUUCUACAGUGAAAAACUCGUAAAAAAGUUUGAUCUGUAUUUCUCGAUCUCAAAUCAAGUAAGACUACCCGCUGAACUUAA
rnacentral:misc_RNA from 1 species